UACGUAGGUGGCGAGCGUUGUCCGGAUUUACUGGGCGUAAAGAGCGCGCAGGCGGUCAAGUAAGUCGAAUGUGAAAGCCCCCGGCUCAACUGGGGAGGGUCAUUCGAUACUGAUCGACUCGAAGGCAGGAGAGGGUAGUGGAAUUCCCGGUGUAGUGGUGAAAUGCGUAGAUAUCGGGAGGAACACCAGUGGCGAAGGCGACUACCUGGCCUGUUCUUGACGCUGAGGCGCGAAAGCUAGGGGAGCAAACGGG
rnacentral:rRNA from 1 species